AUUGCCUUAUUCAAGCACUUUUAUUCUCCAUCAGUUUGCAGAAUAUUGAAUUGUAUCGUUUUAAGUAGAGAAUUGAAAUUCUCGGAACAUCAUUGUUCAAGCCUUAAUAAAGGCUGCAGAAUUUUGAAGUUUAUGUCAAGCUGUCCCAGUACAACAAGACAAUCCUUUACUUAUAGACAUAGAUCGACAAGCAUAUGAUCUUAGCUUUUGUUAGGCCAAAUCGGAAUGAUGUCCCAGCUACAUCAAUAUAUCUUUAAUUGCCUAUUUGCCUUAUUCAAGGACUUUUAUUCUCCAUUUUGCAGAAUAUUGAAUUAUAUCGUUUAAGUAGAGAAUUGAAAUUCUCGGAACAUCAUUGUCCAAGCCUUAUUAAUAAAGACUGAUCUUAGCCGAAUUUUGAACUUUAUAUCAAGCUGUCCCAGUACAGCAAGACAAUAGAACUAUAGAGACUGGUUUCUCCAAUCUUUUACUUACGGACAUAGAUCGACAAGCAUAUGAUCUUAGCUUUUGUUAGGCAACAUAGGACUAUGCUGUCCCAGCUACAGCAAUACCUCUUCAAACGGACAAUCGCCUUAUCAAAGGACUUUUAUUCUCCAUCAAUUUGCAGAAUAUUGAACUGUUUCUUUUAAGCAGAGAAAUGAAUUUCUCAGGACAUCAUUGUCCAAGCCUUAAUAAAGGCUGAUCUUAGCAGAAUUUUGAACUUUAUAUCAAGCUGUCCCAGUACAGCAAGACAAUAGAACUAUAGAGACAGGUUUCUCCAAUCUUUUACUUUCGGACAUAGAUCGACAAGCAUAUGAUCUAACUUAUAACAUCGGACUUAUGCUGUCCC
rnacentral:lncRNA from 1 species